GACGAACGCUGGCGGCGUGCUUAACACAUGCAAGUCGAACGGAAAGGCCCUGCUUUUGUGGGGUUCUCGAGUGGCGAACGGGUGAGUAACACGUGAGUAACCUGCCCUUGUCUUUGGGAUAUCUUCAGGAAACUGGGGCUAAUACCGGAUAGGAGCUCCUGCUGCAUGGUGGGGGUUGGAUAGUUUCGGCGGUUGGGGAUGGACUCGCGGCUUAUCAGCUUGUUUGUGGGGUAGUGGCUUACCAAGGCUUUGACGGGUAGCCGGCCUGAGAGGGUGACCGGCCAAAAUGGGACUGAGAGACGGCCCAGAAUCGUACGGGAGGCAGCAGUGGGGAAUAUUGCACAAUGGGCGGAAGCAUGAUGAAGCAACGCAGCGUGCGGGAUGAAGGCCUUCGGGUUGUAAAACGAUUUAGAAUGUGACGAAGAGUGAGUGACGGUAAUGGGUAAAGAAGCACCGGCUAACUACGUG
rnacentral:rRNA from 1 species